GCGGGCUCACACGGGGAGAAAUCGGGUAGGUCGAAGCAAAAAGUUCCAGAACCAGAUGCAGACACACCCGGAGCCUACAAACUACCACCGCCGAGCAAGGACUAACAGUCACAUGAGGAGAUCAAAUAACAGCAGGAUUUGAAUCGCACCGGAUGGGUUGGUGGCCAGGGCGCUGGUAUGAUUACAAUCCCUCAGGCCACCUGUUGCUGACACGACGACGACGGAGAACCUGUUUGGAGGCUCCCAUGAUGUAGGAGUAACCUCUCUGAGUUGAGCCCUUGACAAGGAAGGACGAUUCUUGGGUUCAUGAACUACAGGCCCGACGGCGACAGAAUCCAUGCCCAAACCACCCACAUGCAACAGCGAACCAAUGCACGAAGAUCACCUGAACCACCCGAAUCCAUGCUAGGCUAUCAAUAAUCUUGAAUUUUUUAAAAUUGUAUUAUGACUACCAA
ensembl:lncRNA